rnacentral:misc_RNA from 1 species
AGGGUAACGGCCCCUUGAAAAACUCAUAAAUAACGGUCGUAACGUAACGGCUGUUAUUUAAAAACCAUGUGCCAAUGUCACUACUCCCUGCACCCUGCCCAAUGACUUGUGCUACUUAAAUUUCUAGUCCACUGGAAUCUUGUGCUUGCUGUCUCCUGUGCCACUUUCUGCCUGAGGCACAUUUCUUGAAUGUUCAACAGAAUUUGUUAUAGCUACAAAUAUUUUGGUGAAUAAUAUCUCAAUGUAAUUACUUCUGCAUGGAUUUUAUUGAUUGAAAUUUGCUUGUUGGUGCAGCUUGGUUAUUGGUAGGACCUGU